rnacentral:rRNA from 1 species
GACGAACGCUGGCGGCGUGCUUAACACAUGCAAGUCGAACGGAAAGGCCCUGCUUUUGUGGGGUGCUCGAGUGGCGAACGGGUGAGUAACACGUGAGUAACCUGCCCUUGACUUUGGGAUAACUCCAGGAAACUGGGGCUAAAACCGGAUAGGAGCUCCUGCUGCAUGGUGGGGGUUGGAAAGUUUCGGCGGUUGGGGAUGGACUCGCGGCUUAUCAGCUUGUUGGUGGGGUAGUGGCUUACCAAGGCUUUGACGGGUAGCCGGCCUGAGAGGGUGACCGGCCACAUUGGGACUGAGAUACGGCCCAGACUCCUACGGGAGGCAGCAGUGGGGAAUAUUGCACAAUGGGCGGAAGCCUGAUGCAGCAACGCCGCGUGCGGGAUGACGGCCUUCGGGUUGUAAACCGCUUUCGCCUGUGACGAAGCGUGAGUGACGGUAAUGGGUAAAGAAGCACCGGCUAACUACGUG